rfam:Medicago truncatula strain A17 chromosome 1, whole genome shotgun sequence.
GUUGCUUCUGUAAAUUCAUUAUGAGUGAUCUGUGUUCUGAUUGGUCAUUCAUAUUGGAGAAGCAUAUAACUGUUAUUGCCAGUCUUAAACAGCAUGAUGUGUAUUUUUGUUUCAUUGUGCUACCUGUCUACUGGUAAAUUU